rnacentral:rRNA from 1 species
GCGACUAUGCCGCGUUGAAUACACCCGUUCUCGUCUGACCACCGAAGGUAAGGAACGUCGGGCCUAGUUACUACUUGCAUUGGUGACCGUCUGAGGUGUUGCAGCCG